AACGAACGCUGGCGGCAUGCCUAACACAUGCAAGUCGAACGAGACCUUCGGGUCUAGUGGCGCACGGGUGCGUAACGCGUGGGAACCUGCCUUUAGGUUCGGAAUAACUCAGAGAAAUUUGAGCUAAUACCGGAUGAUGUCUUCGGACCAAAGAUUUAUCGCCUUAAGAUGGGCCCGCGUUGGAUUAGCUGGUUGAUGGGGUAAAGGCCUACCAAGGCGACGAUCCAUAGCUGGUCUGAGAGGAUGAUCAGCCACACUGGGACUGAGACACGGCCCAGCCUCCUACGGGAGGAAGCAGUGGGGAAUAUUGGACAAUGGGCGAAAGCCUGAUCCAGCAAUGCCGCGUGAGUGAUGAAGGCCUUAGGGUUGUAAAGCUCUUUUACCCGAGAUGAUAAUGACAGUAUCGGGAGAAUAAGCUCCGGCUAACUCCGUGCCAGCCGCCGCCGUAAAAC
rnacentral:rRNA from 1 species